UUGAAGGCGUGGAGACUGAAGUCUUCUGUAUCCACAGAACAGGUACGGCACAUGCAGCGGCAGUGCAGCUUUUCCACUGUCCCACCAAUGUGCCUCAGGUCCUACCUUAAGGAGACCAUGUUGAGGGUAAGAAGGCUGUUCAGUCUCCAUGCCCUUCAAUCUUUGGCUACA
rfam:Erinaceus europaeus cont1.373354, whole genome shotgun sequence.